rnacentral:rRNA from 1 species
AACGAACGCUGGCGGCAUGCCUAACACAUGCAAGUCGAACGCGUGUAGCAAUACACGAGUGGCGGACGGGUGAGUAACGCGUGGGAACCUGCCCAAUGGUAGGGAAUAACUGCGGGAAACUGCAGCUAAUACCCUAUGCUCCCUACGGGGGAAAGAUUUAUCGCCAUUGGAGGGGCCCGCGUCGGAUUAGCUAGUUGGCGGGGUAACGGCCCACCAAGGCUACGAUCCGUAGCUGGUCUGAGAGGAUGAUCAGCCACACUGGAACUGAGACACGGUCCAGACUCCUACGGGAGGCAGCAGUGGGGAAUAUUGGACAAUGGGCGCAAGCCUGAUCCAGCCAUGCCGCGUGUGUGAAGAAGGCCUGCGGGUUGUAAAGCACUUUUUAGUGGGGAUGAAAAGCACCGGGCUAAUACCCAGGUGUCUUGACCUAACCCCAAAGAAAAGCACCGGCUAACUCUGUGCCAGCAG